rnacentral:rRNA from 1 species
GAUGAACGCUGGCGGCGUGCCUAAUACAUGCAAGUCGAGCGAACAGACGAGGAGCUUGCUCCUCUGACGUUAGCGGCGGACGGGUGAGUAACACGUGGAUAACCUACCUAUAAGACUGGGAUAACUUCGGGAAACCGGAGCUAAUACCGGCUAAUAUAUUGAACCGCAUGGUUCAAUAGUGAAAGACGGUUUUGCUGUCACUUAUAGAUGGAUUCGCGCCGCAUUAGCUAGUUGGUAAGGUAACGGCUCACCAAGGCGACGAUGCGUAGCCGACCUGAGAGGAUGAGCAGCCACACGGGGAGUGAGACACGGUACAGGCUCCUACGGGAGGCAGCAGUGGGGAAUAUUGGAGAAUGGGCGCAAGCCUGAUCCAGCCAUACCGCGUGGGUGAAGAAGGACUUCGGGUUUUAAAGCACUUUUGGUAGGAAAGAAAAGCAGCAGGUUAAUAACCCGCUGUUCUGACGGUACCCAAAGAAUAAGCACGGGCUAACUUCGUG